rnacentral:rRNA from 1 species
UGCCAGCCGCCGCGGUAACACGAACCGUACAAACGUUAUUCGGAAUUACUGGGCGUAAAGCGUGCGUAGGCGGCGCAUUAAGUCGGAUGUGAAAGCCCUGGGCUUAACCUGGGAAUGGCAUUCGAUACUGGUGCGCUAGAGUCUGAUAGAGGGUAGCGGAAUUCCGGGUGUAGCGGUGAAAUGCGUAGAGAUCCGGAGGAACAUCUGUGGCGAAGGCGGCUACCUGGAUUAAGACUGACGCUGAGGUACGAAAGCGUGGGGAGCAAACAGGAUUAGAUA